GACGAACGCUGGCGGCGUGCUUAACACAUGCAAGUCGAACGGAAAGGCCCUGCUUUUGUGGGGUGCUCGAGUGGCGAACGGGUGAGUAACACGUGAGUAACCUGCCCUUGACUUUGGGAUAACUUCAGGAAACUGGGGCUAAUACCGGAUAGGAGCUCCUGCUGCAUGGUGGGGGUUGGAAAGUUUCGGCGGUUGGGGAUGGACUCGCGGCUUAUCAUCUUGUUGGUGGGGUAGUGGCUUACCAAGGCUUUGACGGGUAGCCGGCCUGAGAGGGUGACCGGCCAAAUUGGGACUGAGGUACGGCCCCGACUCCUACGGGAGGCAGCAGUGGGGAAUACUGCACAAUGGGCGGAAGCCUGAUGCAGCAACGCCGCGUGCGGGAUGACGGCCUUCGGGUUGUAAACCGCUUUCGCCUGUGACGAAGCGUGAGUGACGGUAAUGGGUAAAGAAGCACCGGCUAACUACGUG
rnacentral:rRNA from 1 species